rnacentral:rRNA from 1 species
ACGAACGCUGGCGGCGUGCCUAAUACAUGCAAGUCGAACGAACCGCGACUAGGUGCUUGCACUUGGUCAAGGUGAGUGGCGAACUGGUGAGUAACACGUGGGUAACCUACCUCAUAGUGGGGGAUAACAGUCGGAAACGACUGCUAAUACCGCAUAUGACAUAGGAUCACAUGAUCCAGUGAGGAACGGUUUCGCAAGCUAUCGCUAAGAGAUGGACCCGCGGUGCAUUAGCUAGUUGGUAGGGUAAAGGCCUACCAAGGCGAUGAUGCAUAGCCGACCUGAGAGGGUGAUCGGCCACAUUGGGACUGAGACACGGCCCAAACUCCUACGGGAGGCAGCAGUAGGGAAUCUUCCGCAAUGGACGCAAGUCUGACGGAGCAACGCCGCGUGAGUGAAGAAGGUCUUCGGAUCGUAAAGCUCUGUUGUUAGAGAAGAACAGCGCAUAGAGUAACUGUUAUGGGUGUGACGGUACCUAACCAGAAAGCCACGGCUAACUACGUG